rnacentral:rRNA from 1 species
AAGUUCUUUAAAGCUAAAUAAUUUGGCGGUAUUUUAAACUUUUCAGAGGAACCUGUUCUAUAAUCGAUAAUCCACGAUAGAAUUAACUUUAAUUAGAAAUUUUUAUAUCGUCGUUGUUAAAGAAUUUAAUAUUUAAAAUUUUUAUUAAAAAAUAAAUCAGAUCA